UGGAGAGGAGGCAGCCCUGGUGCUGAUUGGGGUGGUGGCUCCUGCAGCCCCUUGGUGCUCACUUGUCCUGACCCUCCUGCACAGAGAAAUGCAGCAGUGGCUGCAGAGGGGCUGCUUGGCCAGCCUGGGUAACCUCGCAGCAGUGGCUUCAAAGAAGGCUCCUAAGCAUUCCUGCAAUACCAAUGAUGAUAAGAAGUAGUUGGUAUUGUGAGCAGGUGCUUUCCAGCUCGGCAUACCUUGACAAUUUGACAGCAGCCAGAUGUUUAACUAGGUGGAGUAAGCGACGACUCAAAAUGCCAUCAUAUAAAUCUUGCAAAUGGUACCACAGCUGAGCCUCUGGGUAUGCCUGGUGAAUUGUGAUUUCUCAGAGGUCCUGUUUGAUCAGAGACUGAGCUCUUCCUUUAACCUGUGAUUGGAUCCCACAGAGACAGCGGGUGUGGUGAUGCAUCACUAGUGACUAAUUUCAACAAGUCAGUUAAUUGCCCCUUUGGAGCUACACAAAGCUGGUUGAAAAUAGUUAAAUGUUGAUGUUUUAAUGGAAAUUGUCCUAAUAUUGCUGUGGAAUGGAGCUGCAGAAAGAAGCUUCCUACAGCUGCACAGUCUUGCUUUGGUAUACAUUUCAGCCAGCAUAUGGUAUGCAUUUUAACUGAACACAUGGAGAACUAAUUUGAUUUGAGUUGAUUGAUUUUGAUUACUGGCAUGAGGAUAUGCUAAUGAGAAACAAUCCAGCAUGUCUAAAAGAUUGCUUCAAUUUCUAGCACAGCUGAUACAUGUUUGUAUCAUAUGCAUGACAAGUAGGGGAGAAAAUGUUGUCUAUUUUGAAUUUUUUCUCAGUGGUUACUCUGUGGUGAACAGGAGGAGACACAUUAUUCUGAUUGCAGCUUGACAACACAUUCUUCUGUCAGUACAAAUUAGGACUGAUUGAAUAUAUCUAGCUAGGACAGGUGUUUUUGCAUCAGGAAAUGGGCAAUACUGGUAGCUGUAAAAAACCUCAAGUCAUUUUUCAAGAAAACUUCUGCUGCAGAUCAGGAGGUGAAUCUAAAAAGUUUCAGAAGGAGUUUGUUGACUAGAGAUGUGUGAGGUCUAGGAGACCAGCUCAGACCAAUGUCUUUGAAAUUGGUUUGUUAGUUUUCAAUUUACUGGAGCCUGUUCAGUUUAGAUGUUUGUGUACAUGUUGCUUAGGGAGAAAAAUCGUAAUAUCAUAGUGAAGGAUUUUCAGAGAAAGUGGAUUAUUGGAUACAACAUCCCAAACCUGAGGCUAAAUACUUUUACUUGUGAGCAUUCAGUUAUAGGUAGGAAGCCUUGCUGUUCUGUGUGGGUAUGAACCAGCUAAGGUAUGAAGUGCUGCUCUUUGAAAAUAAGCAGAACACCUUCCUUGAUGUAUUUAUUCCUGCACUCUCAAAAAGUCAUAUCAGCUUAUGUACUUUGGGGUCCUGCAAAUGCUGAACAAACGUGCAUCACUCUAAAUGUACAACUUGAGACAGUGGAGCUGGUUGUUCUACCCUUAUGAAUAUGGAUUGAAAUAAAAAUCUUUCUAAGUGGACAGUAAAUGAAGCUGAGUCACAGCAAGUCAGUUGCUCUCCUAAUGGGAGACUCAGAAUCAUCGAGUUGGUUAGGUUAGAAAAGAGACCUCUGAGAUGGAGUCCAGCUGUUUACCCAGCACUGCCAAGCCCACCACUAACCCACUUCCCCAGGUGCCACAUCCACUUGUCUUUUAAGUAGCCCCAGGGAUGGUGACUCCACCACUUCUGUACACAGCCUGGUCCAGUACCUUACCACCCUUCAGUGAAGAAGUUUUUCCUAAUAUCCAAUUUAAACCUCUGCUUGUGCAGCUUGAGGCCAUUUUCCCUUGUUCUGUCACUUUUUACCAGGAAGCAGAGCCUGAUCCCCACCUGCUAUAACCUCCUUUUAGGGAGUUGUGGAGAGUGACAAGGUCCUCCUAAGUCUCCUUUUCUCUAGGCUGAGCACCCCCAGCUCCCCCAACUGCUCCUCACUUGUGCUCCUUCCCCAGCUCCAUUGCUGUUCUCCAGACAUGAUUGAUAUCUAAGCCCCAGAGAUUUUUCCACCUAGCCAAAAAUACCCACUUCAUCAAGGAGGUAUAAAAUCUUAUUUAUAUAAGAACAUUAAAUGAUAAUCCACCACAUAGUAAUUGAUAGCAACUGAUCUGAGUGACUUAUGCAAAUAAUCACUAUAGACACAGCUGCUACAGGAGAGGAAAAAAGAGUGGGAUGCUUUACAGCCAUCUCUGCGUGGUGUUUCUCACACAGGACUUGAGUAAUCACACUGCCUCUGUGCAGCUACCAAGGAGUGGUUCAUGGAUUGUGAGCACAGUUGCUAAGAUCAGGAAGAGGUUUGCUGGUAUUUAAUCUGCUCCUGUCAAGCAGAAGGGUGGUAUCUCCUCCUGGAUGUAGCAGAUGACAGCCUUGAUGUGUCUAUGAGGCAGUUUCUAUAGGAUAUUUGGAAGGUAUAGCUUGUCAGUGAACACCUGUCUUCAGUCAGCUCUUCUCUGCAAGGACAGUUGGGAUAGAAGAAGAUCCACGGCACUGGAAGUGGCCAGAAGUAAUCCAUGGAGGUGGGAAGGUGUUGAUGUAAUUGGGAGGAAAAUCCUUGCUGGGCAAAGGUCAGUGAAGAGAGGAAUGUUCUCACAAAGACUCAGCAGGACUCCUAAAGGCCUUGGCAUGUGCCCUUGUCUCCCCUGCUUCAACACCCUGUGAUGAGCUUUCUCUCUUCCUUUUCUGAGCUGCCCCUCCACCACUGUCCAUGUGGAUUGACAGGAGCCUGCUCUGUGAUUGGCAGGGUUUGUCACUGUUGAGCAAGUGAAGAAAUGGAAGAUCAGCUGCUAAUCUCAGCUGAGCUCAGACAAACCCAAAAACCUCAACUCCUACAGCAGCGUACCUGGGAGCAAAAUCUGGAUCAGAUGCUCUCUCUGAAGUUACCUUGGAAAACUGUGCCCAGAAAUUAUUUCACUUUCAGAUAGUGGGAACUAUGAUGAAUUAUGAAUAACAAGCUGGUGACUCCUGUGAACAAAGAAAUUCUGCAAAGUCCUGUGCUGGUUUAUUGCAGCUUCCCACACAACAGGAUGAAUGGGUAUGCAGCAGGAAAAGUACAGGUCUGUGUUAAACUAUUCAAUUUUGUGUUGAAAACACAAAGCUGGAAGGGACAAUAGUAUCCUGGUAACUUGUGAUCCUAAUCUUUCUUACAAGAUUGUAAAACUGUUUACCCUGGCAGUAUCAAGUUAACAGAGCACAUUCUUUCCGAAUUUCUUGUUUUCCCUUUUAUUACAACAAUGUGUUUGCAAACUCUGUGUUACGUACUGCUAUUUGAAACCUUGUGAUCCCUUCAGCAAAACAAAGAUGCUAAUUAAAAGUAUUUUUACUACUGUG